rnacentral:piRNA from 1 species
UACCGUACCUGUGCAGCUGUUUUGU